rnacentral:miRNA from 1 species
UGGCCUGGAUUCGGUCGCAAAGA